ensembl:snoRNA small nucleolar RNA SNORA28
GAAUAAAUCUCUUUUCUUUUUACCAAAAUUGUCAGACAUAACUUGAACUUGCUAUAGCAAGAAAGUCUAACCUAUUCCAGUGCUCUCUCCUCUAUCAGACUAGCUGUUAUAUAGACUUAGUGUAA